GUGGGUUUUGAGAUUCGCGCUUUCUCUCCCCCGGGGGUGUAUUCACACCGUAUUCUAGUUUUUGCGUGGACGGGGUAUUUCCCCUGUGGGGCCCAAGAGUCACGAGUGCGCUCGCACUUCCCACACGGCGGCUUCCUCGCUCGGCUGACUGCAGCAUCUGCCCGCUCCACGAGGCUUCUUCCCCUUCGCGUCCGGCGUUCAUCCGCCGCACGCUUCAGUUGGCGGCGAGAUCCAUCUGCACAGUUGGCCUCCGAUUAGCCUGCGGCCAGUUCGGCACCCCCAGGUCAGGUGCCGACUGCCGAGCCCCCCCCCCCCCCCCCCCGCCGCCCGUGAACCUCCAGACGGCACCCAACGCGGCAGGAAACCCUAGAGCUGAGGGAGAGCCGGCGAGGGUGCGAAUCCCGCAUCCAAGCUCGAUGGAGGUCGCCAGUCACCCACCAUCCGGGAGUCCUUCCUGGUUGCUGGCGCGCCUGGAUGGACGGAGGAGACAAGGAAGACCGGUGCGCCUGGAUGGACGGAGGAGACAAGGAAGACCGGUGCGCCUGGAUGGACGGAGGGGACAAGGAGGACGCAGCUCGGGAGGUACUUUUUGGUGCCUAAGCGAAGGAACCAAAUCCAGCGGAUAUGAGUUUCUGAGUGCUGUUUUUCCCUCUCUUUUUUUGGUUGGAGAUGCCUCUUGGACGGGGGCAAUCGGCAGGAAAUGAUGGAUCUGUUGUUGGAUGCUGCAGUUUCUGCUCGAAGGCAUUCAGUUGGUAUACACCCAUUAUUUAGAAGGUGCUACUAGUACUGCCUCUCUCCUCCUAGAGCCGUCACUGUGCUGCCGAACACCCGUGCCCCGCCGAUGCCCUCGCCACCAACACCAAGGACGCCGACCUCUCCACCAAGUAAGUAAUUUGCCACCUUUCUUUAGAUCCAGAUCCUUCCCCAACUCCAUCUGUGCCCGUUGGUGAAGGGGGCGAGGAUUUACCACGCGAUUUGGAUCUGUACUAUGAGAAGAAGGUCCUUUCUGAACCAUCCUCAUCUAUCUCUGGUGCUUUUCCCCCAGGUUUGUUUUUCGAUUUAAAUUUAUCUGUUGAUUUCACCGCAAUCAAGUUGAACCCCUACAGGCUACAAAACGGUGUUGCUGAUUAAUAUGAACCUGAGGAGAGUUCUAGCUAGCAAAAUGCUUGAGGAACAUUUACGGUGAAAAGGUGAUUAUGAUGUUUUCGUGACUUCACAACCUAUAUUUUGACCUGUUAACUUUUGAUAUAGAGUGAUUCAUUGGACUGAUUAUGAGCAUCUGUGUACCUGAUUUUGCUAUUGAAUCUUCAGUAAUCGUGUCAUCUUCAUGUUUUCCCUUUUGCAUAUGCAGACCUACCCAACACUUGUGUUGUUACAACUAGCUUUCCAAAGUCUUGGUGUGGUGUUUAGGAUUUAGACACAUCACCUUUAUAUCUCUACAGGCAGGCAAUUCUCAGUGAUAAAGGACUUGGAUGAUCAGUGUGCACUUACAUUGUACUACAGGAGGCGCUGCAACAACGAGGAACAAGAGUAAGACCAUGAUCGUGGACACCAAGCCCCCACACACGCCGUCCCUCGUAUUCAUGUUGGAUCGUGUGAUGAGGAGUCUGGAUCGUUCUAAGAAAAGGCGAGCAUAACCGGUGGCGGCCUGUGUAUUCGGAUGGCUUUAUAUAAGACGUUAGCUGUGCAAUCAAUCAAUAAUCAUGAUUUUGUUCCUUUGU